CUUGAACUAGCUGCGAAGGGGAGGAGAAGAGUAGUAGCGAACCAAAGACCAGAGAGGAAGAGACGCAAUUACACUAUAAUAGAUAGUUAGAAAGGUAGAAAAAAUUGUAGUCGCAGAGUCAGAGAGCCAGAGAGGGGAGGAGAGUGGCAGACGAUUUUGCCUCUGGCGACGACGGUUCCCUCGGGCUGGGUGUCAGGCGCGCGAUGAGAGUUCUGCGGUAACCUUAAGAGUUAAAUGUGUAAGCAGUGAGAGGGGGAGGGUGGCGUACGGCGGUGAAAAUGGACGAGGGUGGCAGAGAGAAGAAGAAGGAGACACUACAGCAAACAGGGAAGAUAGCAGCAGCUAAUUAGCAGCUGUUUAUCAAACCGCAGCCAAUUGACAAGAUAGCGGCCAUUAUGAUAUCGGUUUGGGCUCUGCUACAAAAAGAACCAAGAUAGCAGCGAUUUGCUUCCCAACGGCAACAAAUCAAAACAAGAAGAGAGCCCCUAAAUGCCCCGUCACCAGAGUUCUAAAGUCUGAAUCAUUCCCCCUUGUCCAGCCCUAGCAACCACCCACGCAGCGCCACCAUCGAUCAUCACCCCCCAGAGUCUCCAUCAGAACCACAGAACCACCACCUUCUUCUUCUUCCACCCUCGCCGAACAACCACCGCGAAAACCCUUUCUCUCUUUCUCUUCCCCUGUCUCAUGCCUUCUCUGUCUCGUUGUCGGCUACCAUCCAGCGCUGCCGUGACCAUCUUCUUCCCCUCCUUACAACCUCGCACUAUGGGCCUGUGGCUCUCUAGUUUGCCCAUGCCUCCCUUAUUCCCAGUCACAGAAUCAGAACAGAGCCACUCUAUUGUUAAUUCGACUCAGGUAUAUUGAGUUCUAUGAUGUCAUGUCUGUCCCCAUGGUAAUAGCACUUUCUGGCCAAUUUCUUCUUGGUCAACUAGUGAUGGUGAAGCCAUCAGAAGCAGAAAAAAAUUUGGUUCAGUCCACAACAUCUGUUGCUACUGGACCUGCUGGAGUUAUAGUCCCAUAUUCAGGGGGAGCAAGAAGGCUAUAUGUAGGCAAUCUGCAUUUCAAUAUGACCAAAACUGAUCUUCGGACGGUGUUUAAAGCAUUUGGUCAGGUUGAGCUUGUCUAGCUGCCUCUUGAUGAAAGUGGGAACUGCAAAGGUUUUGGCUUUGUCCAGUUUGCACGCCCUUGAAGAUGCAAGAAAUGCACAGAGCUUGAAUGGUCAAUUGGAAAUUGGUGGCAGGACAAUCAAGGACAAAUUUGGUGUAAGGUCUCCGAGACAUAGCUCUGCAGAAAUGAUGGUAGCCCUUUACCUACAAGUCAGUAUUAUUAGCCAGGCACUAAUUUUUGUCACCAAGUCUUGUAGCUGGUCCUAUGUUAAAAGACAUGGUCUUCUUCUAUUGGGUUCUUCAUGAUUGCUCAACUGGUGGCAACUGCUCUUGCAGUAUAUGCUAACUAGAGCUUUGCAAGAAUCAAGAGAAUGGGAUGGGAUUGGACUGGUGUAAUCUGACUCUACAGUUUAGUGACCUAUGUGCCUCUUAAUUUGCUUAAAUUUGUGAUUAUAAGUGUGAUCACAAUUCUUAGGGAUUUGUGAUUAUGGGUCUACAAUGAAAUAAUUGAAAAUCAAAGACUAAAAUAUAUACACUAAAAAGAUAAAUUGAAUAACUCUAUUAACCCUGUUAUUAGUUUACUUUCUUAAUUCAUACUACAGUUUCAGUUAUUUAUUGUUCUUGCUUUGAUUAAUGUUUUUAACUGAUCUUUUUUUAAUUUAUUUGUGGAUUGAGAGAAAUGUUUGUCAGGCCAUUUGAGUUCAAAGACAGUAGUAUGUUACUCAUCAAGUAGAGUUCUUACCUGCUGCUGAUCUUAUGUUGCCUUGUCUAAACUUCAAGCUGAACAGUCUAGGCUUGAGAAACGGGUCAACAAGAAAGUAAUGGCAAUGUUUAAGAAGGCAGAAGAUGAGUACAAUGAUUUGAUGUCAGAGAAAAACAUAAUUGAGAAUGACAAGUCUAAAAUCAAGAAAGUGAUCAAAGAAUUGGAUGAAAAAAAAGAGACACUAAAUGUGACCUGGGUCAAAGUAAACAAUGAUUUUGGAUCCAUAUUUUCUACAGUACUACUGGGUACGAUGGCUAAGUUAGAACCUCCAGAAGGAUGCAGUUUUCUUGAUGGUCUUGAGGUUCGGGUUGCAUUUGGAGGUGUUUGGAAAUAGUCAUUGUCUUAAGUGGAGGUCAACGAUCCAUUGAGGUUUAUAUUUGUCAUCAUGACUUUUAAAGGGGUUUCAAUAUUUAGGAUUUUUCUAAGGUUUUUACCAAUAUUUAGGAUUUUUCUAAGGUUUUUACCACCUUAGUUUUGUUUUUCCCCUAUAUAUAUAUAUAUAUGUAUGUGUGUGUGUACAAGUAGUGCUCGAGUAUCAUAUUUUUUUAUUUUACAAAUAAGAAUUUUUUAGUUAACAUUUUAAAUUUA